UUGGUUGUUUUCAAGUUAAAAAAAAAAAAAUCUAGAAUGCACUAGUUAUAUUGCUUACAUAACGUUUUCAAUCAAUAAAAUUAUAUUUUUUAGAUUCAUUUAUCCCAUCAUAAUUAAUAAAAAAAUAUUUUUAUUAUAUAUAUAUAUUAAAAAGAUUUCAUUGACUUGUUACUGAUGAUGAUGUAAUGUAAGUAUGACACAAUAAAAUUUUUUUGUUUUUAGGUGUUUGGCUUGUGUAUCCGCUGGCAUCUGAUUUCAGGUGUGCUUAAUUUGGCAGAGAUUUUAAUAAUUACUUUUACUAUGGUGAGAGGUAAAUGAGUUUUUAUAAUCUGUAUAGUAUUUUGAUAUAGUAUUAAUUGAUAAAGUGCCGAGUAAAUAGUACUUUCGAACAGAAUGUGACUAUAACAUUUGCGUAUAACCGACCGUCCCUAGAGCAAGUGGUAAAAGACUUGAUGGUUGGUAUCCGAGACCUAUAUUUGAAUCCUAAUUGAUUUACAUUUCUUACUAAGUUUAUUUCUAAAUAAAAUAAACGAAGUGAUUAGCGUGCUACCUAUCUCUCAAAAAAAAAAUAUUUGCGUAUAAAAGUGAGGCUUCGAAUUCUAUUUAUAGUCUAAAACAAUAUCAAAACACUCUACUGAAUAUAACUGUUAGUAAUA
rnacentral:lncRNA from 1 species